GUCUAUGGCCAUGCCACCCUGAACAUGCCUGAUUCCAUCUGAUAUCGGAAGCUAAGCAGGGUCGGGCCUGGUUAGUACUUAGAUGGGACACCGCCUAGGAAGACUGGGCACUAUAGGCG
ensembl:rRNA 5S_rRNA 5S ribosomal RNA